rnacentral:sRNA from 1 species
UUUAAAAAACAAAUUACGAGACGGAUAAAAAAAUUACAGAAUA